AGUGAACGCUGGCGGUAGGCCUAACACAUGCAAGUCGAACGGCAGCACAGUAAGAGCUUGCUCUUACGGGUGGCGAGUGGCGGACGGGUGAGGAAUACAUCGGAAUCUACUUUUUCGUGGGGGAUAACGUAGGGAAACUUACGCUAAUACCGCAUACGACCUACGGGUGAAAGCAGGGGAUCUUCGGACCUUGCGCGAUUGAAUGAGCCGAUGUCGGAUUAGCUAGUUGGCGGGGUAAAGGCCCACCAAGGCGACGAUCCGUAGCUGGCCUGAGAGGAUGAUCAGCCACACUGGAACUGAGACACGGUCCAGACUCCUACGGGAGGCAGCAGUGGGGAAUAUUGGACAAUGGGCGCAAGCCUGAUCCAGCCAUACCGCGUGGGUGAAGAAGGCCUUCGGGUUGUAAAGCCCUUUUGUUGGGAAAGAAAAGCAGCAGGUUAAUACCCCGCUGUUCUGACGGUACCCAAGGAAUAAGCACCGGCUAACUUCGUG
rnacentral:rRNA from 1 species